rnacentral:sRNA from 1 species
GCCAUAAGAAGUUCAGGUUCAGCAGCCGUCUCUAACAGCUUAA